GACUCUGAGGAAGGAAAUACAGGAGUUACGUGUCCAGCGAGAAUUUGGGUUACAGCGUUUUGCUGGCUCCGACACUGACAUCCGAUUCUAUACCAGAUUUCCAAGCUAUGAUCAUUUGAUGGCAUUCUGGGUUUUGAUUGAGCCUUGCAUCUAUAAAAUGAUCCGGGUUUCAAGAGCCAAGUCAGCUGCCAAUCGGAACGAAGAAGUGUUGACACCUGCACGCACAUCAACAAGGCAGCUGCUACAGCCAAUUGACGAGUUUUUUCUUUUCCUGGUUUUCCUGUCAGUUGGUUUGAAGGAGAGGGACCUGGCACACCGAUUUAACAUACACCAGUCCACAGUGAGCCGCAUUAUUGCAACAUGGACAAAUUUUCUUGCCACUGCACUGGGGUCUCAGUGCAUCUGGCUUACACGUGAAGAAGUGCAAGCUUACCUCCCUGAGGAAUUCAAAGAUUUCUCAGACACCCAGAUGAUCCUUGACUGUACAGAGCUGAGGUGUCAGACACCAUCCUCACCACUUCUCCAAAGUGAAAUGUACUCUUCGUACAAA